rnacentral:ncRNA from 1 species
UGCCCUUAGGUGUCUGAGGCUGCAUGCACACUACACUGACUGGCUCAGCAUGUGCCAACUCUAUGCCAGCAGGAGCGAGUUACCCAUUGAACCCCAUUUGUAAUGGGGAUUGGGGAUUGCAAUUAUUCCCCAUGAAUGAGGAAUUCCCAGUAAGUACGGGUCAUAAGCUUGUGUUGAUUGAGUCCCUGCCCUUUGUACACACCACCUAACACUAUUACCAAUUGGAUGGUUUAGUGAGGCCCUCAGAUC